AUACGUAGGUGACAAGCGUUAUCCGGAUUUAUUGGGUUUAAAGGGUGCGCAGGCGGGAGAUUAAGUCGGCGGUGAAAUUUUGCAGCUCAACUGUAAAAGUGCCUUCGAAACUGGUUUCCUUGAGUGUAGAUGAAGUAGGCGGAAUUUGUGGUGUAGCGGUGAAAUGCAUAGAUAUCACGAGGAACUCCGAUUGCGCAGGCAGCUUACUAAACUACUACUGACGCUCAGGCACGAAGGCGUGGGGAUCAAACAGGAUUAGAUACCCUGGUAGUCCACGCAGUAAACGAUGAUUACUAGCUGUUUGCGAUACAAUGUAAGCGGCUGAGCGAAAGCGUUAAGUAAUCCACCUGGGGAGUACGUUCGCAAGAAUGAAACUCAAAUGAAUUGACGGGG
rnacentral:rRNA from 1 species